GAAUAUUGGACAAUGGACGAAAGUCUGAUCCAGCCAUGCCGCGUGCAGGAAGAAUGCCCUCUGGGUUGUAAACUGCUUUUAUAUGGGAAUAAACCCCCGGACGUGUCCGGGGCUGAAUGUACCAUAAGCAUAAGCACCAGCUAACUCCGUCCCAGCCGCCGCGGUAAUACGGAGGGUGCAAGCGUUAUCCGGAUUUAUUGGGUUUAAAGGGUCCGUAGGUGGAAUUGUAAGUCAGUGGUGAAAUCUUUCAGCUUAACUGGAAAAUUGCCAUUGAUACUGCAAUUCUUGAGUAUACUUGAAGUAGGCGGAAUAUGUCAUGUAGCGGUGAAAUGCAUAGAUAUGACAUAGAACACCGAUAGCGAAGGCAGCUUACUAAAUUAUAACUGACACUGAGGGACGAAAGCGUGGGGAGCGAACAGG
rnacentral:rRNA from 1 species